GAUGAACGCUGACAGAAUGCUUAACACAUGCCAGUCUUUGGCGAAGCUGUGCUUGCACAGCCUAGCCAAGGCGGACGGGUGAGUAACGCGUAAGGAACUUGCCCUGCAGUCAGGGAUAACAGACGGAAACGACUGAUAAGACCUGGUAAAGUCAGGCGGACUCAUGUCCAGCCUGAUGAAAAGAGAUGCUGCAGGAGAGCCUUGCGUCCUAUUAGCUUGUUGGUGGGGUAACGGCCCACCAAGGCGAUGAUAGGUAGCCGGCCUGAGAGGGUGGACGGCCAAAAGGGGACUGAGAUACGGCCCUUACGCCUACGGGAGGCAGCAGUGGGGAAUAUUGGACAAUGGGGGCAACCCUGAUCCAGCAAUUCUGUGUGCACGAUGAAGGUUUUCGGAUUGUAAAGUGCUUUCAGCGGGGAAGAAAAAAAUGACGGUACCUGCAGAAGAAGCGACGGCUAAAUACGUG
rnacentral:rRNA from 1 species